rnacentral:misc_RNA from 1 species
GAUGAAGAACGUAGCGAUAUGCGAUAAGUAGUGUGAAUUGCAGAAUUCAGUGAAUCAUCGAAUCUUUGAACGCACAUUGCGCCUCCUGGUAUUCCGGGAGGCAUGCCUGUCCGAGCGUCAUGCAAAAACAUAAAUCUCUCGAGGUUUGUUUUGAGGGAUGAGCCCUGGCUCCCCCUAGAAUUCCAGAGGCGGACUCAAAGGAAAUUGGGGUGUAGGUCGUAGUAAAAGAAAUUUUUCUCGCCAUCAACCUUGUCCAGAAGGUCCAGCCGUAACAUAUAUAAUAACUCUGUUUUUGACCUCGGAUCAGGUAGGGAUACCCGCUGAACUUAAGCAUAUCAAUAAGCGGAGGA